rnacentral:lncRNA from 1 species
UUGUACGAUGGAUUAAGGUCCCCAGUCGAUGACAAAACCCCAUUUUUGUUUUAUGGUUCCAGGGUGAUCAACGGUUAUGCUCGAAUGAUUGUGACAUCUGUGGGAAUGGAGACAGUGUGGGGUGAGAUGAUGAGCAAAGCAAUGGAGUCACCUGAUAAUAAGUGCAAAUUUGAAGUUUUGUUUACGAAGUUAAGUACCUGGGUAGACUUCACAGGGCUUCUAAUUUCCAUCCUUCUGCUUAUAGCCUUGUUUAUUCGCUAUGUACUAGGAGAAAGAGAUGAUGAAGACGGUGAUGGGCCCCAGACCAGGGGAGAACCCACUCCUCUGAAAAUCAUAUUAGAUGCUAUCAAGGUUAUUAUGAGAGGAUCAAAGGGGACGAUGAGAGUUUUGACAACUUUACUGAGUGUGUCACUCGUGGGGAUAAUGGAAGGUGUACCUGUUGUGAUUUCAAUUGCAAUCACAUACUGGAGCCGGCAGACACUAGCACAUCAGGGCUUAGAGAGAGACCCUCUAGCUUG